rnacentral:lncRNA from 1 species
AUAGUUCUGCCAAAGAUGGAGGUGUUUUUGUCGGCCUUAAUCCCAGAGCGAUUGGUAGGGGCUUUGCUUUCCCAACUUUUCCUUUGACAAAAACUGUUGACACUACGCCAAAAACUGGAAUAGACAGCGCACCUUAGAGGGCGCUUUCUUAAAAAAGCGCACUCUAAAGUGAAGAGAAAAAAUAAGGAGCGUACAACUGGAAUAGAC